UGCUUGAACGAUGCCUCGUCAGCUUCUCUGGAAUUUUCUCGGUGCCAGAGGAUCUCUGUUAUCAGACUCCACCGUCCACCGAUACUCGCUCUCCUCCACAUAAAAUCCGCAUCAGCGUGAUUUUCCACCGAUACUCGCUCUCCUCUACACAGCCGGUCCGACCUCCACAACGCACAGAACAGCAUUCAUCGAUCCUUCCGCAGGAAGACCUUCACAACGCACAAAGUAGUAUCGAUCCUUCCAGAACAGGAGAAGCUAGCGGCUCAUUGCAGGUAUGAAUCACUUCCUCAUCCUUCGAUCAAUCAGCUCCUCUGAUUCUCCUCAGAUCCCGCUUGGCUCUGUUGAUCCCAAAAUCUCAGAUCCCGCUUGGCUCUGUUGAUCCCAAAAUCUCAUCACAAACCAGCGCCAACUCCCCCCUCCAGAUCCAGUCAGUCCAAACUCCCCUCCUCAAAUCCGAAGAUCAAAAAUUGUCUGUUCUCAUCCUCCGAUCACUCACCUGCUCCGAUCUUCCCUAAAUCCUGCUUGGCUCUGCUCCUGCCAGCUCAAACGCCCCUCAUCAAAUCUGAAGAACGCCCCUCCUGAAUUCUGAAAGGUUGGCGUCGGCGAUCACCUCUUACUGUCGGAGGCUCCUACAUGGACCAUACAAUUCGGCAACUCAGUAUGCGUAGUCGUUGAAAAUGUAUAUUUAAUGCUCGCUAGGAACAGAUGUGGAUCAAGAGGAUCCUGCCACACUCCGCCUACGUAAGCCCCUCGUCCUAUCUGCGGACCUUCGUCAUCCCCAGAUUUAUCGGAGCAUCGCCAUGAUCGUUCCAGUCCAUCUGGGAUACAAUUUGCUCAAUUUCCUUGUCUUGCGUCAUCGCAUUUUCCCCUUGUGGGGAAGGGGACAACGGAUGAGACAUUUACGACUUCUGAAAACAUAAGCAUAAAUGUAGAUGAGAUAUUUGUUUCUCUCUAUAUUAUCACUCUCUCUAUGUUUCUCUAUAUAAAUGUGUCUAUGUAUUUGUCUCUCGCGAAUGAGAGAGAGAAAUAAUGGAGACAUUGCCGAUUCCUUCUUAUAAUCAAAUCAAGGACACAUCAUAUGUUAUCUUUAAUAAACAA